rnacentral:rRNA from 1 species
AUCAAGAACGAAAGUUGAGGGAUCGAAGAUGAUCAGAUACCGUCGUAGUCUCAACUAUAAACUAUGUCAACCGAGGAUCCGGUAGUGUUACAUGGAUGACCUUCCGGGCACUCUCCGAGAAAUCACAAGUAUUUGGAUUUCGGGGGGAGUAUGGUCGCAAGGCUGAAACUUAAAGGGAUUGACGGAAGGGCACCACCAGGAGUGGAAUCUGCGGCUUAAUUUGACUCAACACGGGAAAACUUACCAGGUCCGGACACAGCAAGGAUUGACAGAUUGAGAGCUCUUUCUUGAUUCUGUGAGUGGUGGUGCAUGGCCGUUUUUAGUUGGUGGAGUAAUUUGUCUGGUUAAUUCCGUUAACGAACGAGACCUUAACCUAUUAAAUAGUAGUACUAAUUCAGGACUUUUAACUGAGUUCUCUCUUUCGGGGGGGGACUGGUAUCACUUGAUUGUAUCACGGGCAACCGUGGUAUGGUCUUGUGAUAAGUAUUGAUUUCAUUUGUAAUCGGCUUCUUAGAGGGACAACUUGCAUCUUUAGCAAGAGGAAGAUUGAGGCAAAAACAGGUCUGUGAUGCCCUUCGAUGUUCUGGGCUGCACGCGCGUUACACUGAGAUAUGCAGCGAGUUUAUAUUACUGGCCCGAUGGGGUUGGUUAAUCUUUUUAAAAUAUUUCGUGAUGGGGAUAGAGUAUUGUAAUUAUUGUUCUUGAACGAGGAAUUCCUAGUAAUUGUAGGUCAUCAACUUGCGUUGAUUACGUCCCUGCCCUUUGUACACACCGCCCGUCGCUCCUACCGAUGGUUGAACCGAUGAGGACUCGGGAUGGCCAAUAUUGAUAUUGACUGAAAGGUUGAUACCAUUAUGGCCAGAACUUGUUCAAAUCUUUUUAACUAGAGGAAGGAGA